rnacentral:rRNA from 1 species
UACGGGGGGGGGCAAGCGUUGUUCGGAAUUACUGGGCGUAAAGGGCUCGUAGGUGGCCAACUAAGUCAGACGUGAAAUCCCUCGGCUUAACCGGGGAACUGCGUCUGAUACUGGAUGGCUAGAGAUUGGGAGAGGGAUGCGGAAUUCCAGGUGUAGCGGUGAAAUGCGUAGAUAUCUGGAGGAACACCAAUGGCGAAGGCAGCUCGCUGGGACGGUACUGACGCUGAGGAGCGAAAGCGUGGGGAGCAAACAGG